rnacentral:rRNA from 1 species
UACGGGGGGGGGCAAGCGUUGUUCGGAAUUACUGGGCGUAAAGGGCUCGUAGGUGGCCAACUAAGUCAGACGUGAAAUCCCUCAGCUUAACUGGGGAACUGCGUCUGAUACUGGAUGGCUUGAGAUUGGGAGAGGGAUGCGGAAUUCCAGGUGUAGCGGUGAAAUGCGUAGAUAUCUGGAGGAACACCGGUGGCGAAGGCGGCAUCCUGGACCAACACUGACACUGAGGAGCGAAAGCCAGGGGAGCAAACGGG